rnacentral:lncRNA from 13 species
GAGAUGGAGACGCAAUAACAACACAGAUCUGAGGAGAGAAACGGAGAGGGAGGCGGCGAGGGAGUCCCUCCCU